UUAAAAGCACUUAAACACUUAAUAAAUGCUUUUAUUAAAAGAUCUGCUAACCCCAAACGGACCAUGGACCUGAAUUAUGUUCCAUGACAAUGGAUUCAGGUGGAAGAUUGACCAUCAGAAUAUCAAUUAAAGACCAAUGUCUGCACUAAAAUAAUCUUUCAAACUUUUAACAUAAUUGCCUAGCACUCUUCCAAGAUAUUGAUAGAAGUUCAAUGAAUAAUUGAUAAUGCAAUGCGUGGACCACGCUUCAACAAACAUAUGGACUAAUAAUUGAUUCAUAUGCAUGCACUUGACUGAAUAUUGCGCGUAUUACAAGCUAAGUUUCCAUAGGGCUUCACGAGGCUUUGAUUUAUCCUACACGUAUCAUUUCUGAGCCUUUACAUACUCGAGCUUAAGCUAUGCUUGACAAAUUAAAAGGAAGCAAAAACAAAUCCAGACGGGGUUUAGAACACGCCUUACAAAUACUUAAACAAGACACACACAAAAUGAGGUCACUUCACCGUAAAAGCAGUCACAGAAAAGGUGAAAGAAACUCUCUGGUUAAUUGACCUAUCAUUUUAAGUUUGAAAGUAGUAAAUAUGACUGAGUGGACAAACAAUUGGAAUCAGCAAAAGGUGCCCAAGAAUAUUAACAAUUCUAAGCUAUUGUGCUUAAGAACAAAAAGCAGGGCAGUUCAUCUAAUCCACUUCUCUACCACAAAAUCAAGCACUAAUCAAAAGACAAUUGAAAACAUUGAAAAUUAUGGGUUUGACAAUUCAUACUUAAAUCCCAACCCUAGCGAAGCGCACUAAGAAAAAUGUUUAGUCAAAGGUAGAAAGCUUUUGUCACGGAAACAUUCUAAAAUCUUGUGUAGACGCAUAACCCAAGAAAGUAUAAAAUUAAAUCUACUCGUAUACGUUUGAAACCCCUCCAUGUUAAAGGCUUCAGAUAUACAAGUACCAGCAUACAUCCAGGUACUUUGUCAGAGGAUUGGUCAAUCUUUUUCAAUACUCCCUUAACUUCAACCUAGAUCGCCACCUCAAAAACAUGGACUUCCUCUCACUCUAUGUAACCCACAAAUAACAACCAACAAUUAUCUCAUUUUUGCAGUAACUGAGAUCCCUUGUUCCACCAAUUCCCCCUUCUGAGCUACCAAAGAAGAAAAUAAGAAGUGUGAACAAAGAAAGAAAAGUUACAUUUAAAGCAUUCUAAACCUGCUGCACAUGAAGUGGAGAAGAUAUCAGAACCAAAUGUAUGUAAGUAAAAAAUUAGACAUAAAAAAGGUCUGAGACGUGUUUUCAAGUUUAACAUACCCUGGAACUUCAUAUACCAAGAGGAGGUCAUCUUCUUGACAGGAAGUGUAGAUGCAAGCAACACGCUGCUUCGAAAGCAGAGGAGCCAAAAGUAUUGAAUAAGCACAAAAAAAGUGGGCACAUAGAUAAAAAGAAGGGGCCAAGUUAGAAACACAAACCAAAAGCAAAUGACAGAACAAAUCACGACAAUUAGACCAACAAAGUAUGUCAGCAAUCAAUCAUGAAGGAAAUCAAGACGGAUAAAAAAUUAUAAAACUUCUGAAAGGCAGCGGCAACCGUCCAAUCACCACAGACAGGCCUACAAAGCAGUAAUCAGUAGAGAUAGAGCUUUUAUAUUUGAUACUCCAAUUCUUCCUCAUGAACUGAACAUUGUCCCAACGCUCUGCAAAUGUCAUAAGAGCACUGCAAGGUUAAAGAUGUGAGUCCCAAACUUCCAACAAGUAAGUCAUGGCAACAGGUAAAAAUCAGGUUCACAAGUGCUCCAACAAACCAGCCUGAAAAAUAUUGCAAUGUAAACAAUGAAGAAGCGUUAAGAUGGACGGAAAAACCAGUUAAAAAUAAGAAACAUGAAGCAAGCAGAUGAUUAAGUUAUGCAUUAGUGACAUUUUUCGAGUAUUAAGAGGAGGAUGAAUUUCGGCAAAUGAGAGAAGUCAACCCUGAUAAGUAUCCAUUGGAAUACGCUCAUCACUGCAUGGUUAGACCAAUGAGACAUGUAAUUCAUGGUCAAGGAAGCAUAUGGUUUCAACCCAGCACUGAAUAGUUUUACAUGUUCAAGUAGAGAUAGAUACUCAAACAGUUAACUUCCAAAAUAUUGAAAAUGCUGUAUAGCAUAACACAUAGGGUUGCACCACAGCUUUAGCUUUUCCACUUGUCAGACAUUUCCUAUGAGGUAAGAACUUUGCCCACACAACUCAGCAGUCAUCAUGGGAAUUCCCUUGCAAUAAGAUCCCAACCUAAACGAGAACUAAUGGUAUUUUAUUUCAGGUACAAUAUAGGUAGCUUCCAAGUACUGAGCGAUAAACAUCUCUUGCUACAAAAUCAAUGAUGGUUAAAAAUCUAGGUCCAAUGGGUGCUGAGAGUGCAGAAGUCAAAGGCAGUCCACAGUUCCAGAACCCCCUUUCCCCAAGAACGGGUGAAAGGGAAAAAGGCUGGACCAGUAUAAUUUCUGUUGCAGUUCAAGUAACACUAGAACAACUAGGACAAGUCAGCCCCCCCCCCCACCAAAACCCCCAGAAACUCUCCCAAUAUAGACUUCUGAAACAUGUCUCCCUCUGCACAAGAUUACUCCAGAAAGCCAUUAGUCGCCAAUGAACAGAAACAUGUGACAAAUGUUCAGGGCAACACUCCACCUUAUCCUAAACAGUUCUGAAUUCAUCAAAUGCAAAUGCCAAAAAAAGACAGUCUCAAAUCAACCAACAUGUCUCCUAUGUUUGGUAGAAUAAAGGAGUCAACAAGGGAAUUAGGAGAGCUUACCUUCCCUUUGAACGCCAUAUAACAAGAAUCACAUCCUCAUUUCAUCUCAGCCAUGAACUUCUCAUACUCUGAGUCUGCACCAUAGGUCUUCUCUGCAGAUGACACAGGUGGAGGCACAGGCGGAUUGGAGGCCCAGGGAACAUUAGUCACACUCUGUGACUGGUCCAGAGUAGGGGGAGGAGGUGGUGGUGGUGGUGGUUGUGCCAUAUUGUAGUAACCUUGAUAGCUGUAUGACGGUGUUGAAUACUGGCCAUUUGGUGGAAUAGCAGCAACAGAGUUACCAUAGGCAUACGUGGGAACAGAUUGAACAGGAGUUGUGCUCUGAUGAGAUUGGACUCCAGGUGGGUAACUUUGCUGUGUAUCAACAGCUGAAGCAUACGUCUGUUGUGUUUCAGCAGAAGACACAGUUGUUGAUGGAACAGCUGAAGUUGCUGUCUGCAUUGGAGGAGGAUACUGUACUCCAUAUGGAGGGACAGGUUGCCCAGUAUACAUGGCCGACCCGGGAGGAGGAGGAGGGUAAGAGGCAUAAGGAGGAGGAGGAGGAGGAGGUCCCCAUGGAACUAGAGCUCCUGUGUAGCUUCCAGGUGGUGGGGUUCCAAGAGGCCCACCUGCAGCAUACUGCUGGGAAGGAUAAGCACCGGUUGGUUGGGGAGGAGCAGGGUAUGUAGGCAUCGCAGGGGCAGGAGGGCCUGGAGGCACAGUGGGUUGAGGCGGUUUACCAGCCACUCUGACAGCUAUUGUCCUACCAUCCAGACGAUGACCAUUCAUGCUAGCAAUAGCAUUAUUAGCCUGUUGAACAUCAGCAUACUUAACAAAACCAUAGCCUUUACUCAGACUAGUGACGCGGUCCUUGAUAACCUUAGCCAUAACAAUUUCACCAAAAGGAGAGAAUAGGCUGAUUAAACCAUCAUCGUCCAGAGUGGGGGGCAAGUAUCCAAUGUAGAGAUUGGUCUCAUCGUAUUCCUUGGGCUUGAUCAGGUUUGCCCCUAAGCCAGGCGUGGUGCUACUCACACCACUAUUAUUGCUGCCGUUGCUGGCCCAAGGAGGAUUGCUUCCAGGAAUACCAGGAAGAGCAAGAGCUGCAGAACUUUGUUUGGUUGAAGAUUCAGGAACAGUCCCACCCAACUCAGCCAGGAAGUUCUGAUAUUCGUCAUCCAUCUUCUUGCCUGUGGUAUUCUUCACUGGACAGUCAAUAGUGGGGUGCCCACCAUCGCCACAAAUCUUACACAGAACAUCACUUUUAAAUGUUGAAGUUUUAGACGGACAUGCAUACUGCCUAUGGCCUGGUUCACCACAUAACCUACAAUACUCCUCGUCUCUAAUAGUCCCAUUCAAAGCAGCAAGCUCCCUGAGCUGUUGCCUCUUAUGCUCAUUAAGCACUUCAUCAACAGGCUGCAAGAGCUUCUCCACCAUGGCAGCGGCUGCAUCAAGUGACUCCUGAGUUUCAGCUUCCACCAAAACAUGUAAAUCUUCAUUCUCUGAGGGAUCGGGCUUCAAGUCCCUUUUCUGCUGUAACCUACCUUCCUUCACAGAGCCUUUACCUCGAAUAACAAUCUUUGCGCCUGUCUCUCUUUCCAUCCUCUUCUGAGUAUUACCUCUAGGCCCAAUAAUCAAACCAAUAAAAUUAUAACCAGGGAACUCUUUCAUCGGGAUGUAGAGCUUCUUCUGAAGCUUAGGAGGCCUGUAAUCAGCAGGUGGCUUAAAAGCGGGAUUUUUCUUGAGUAUUUGGGAUAUAAUCUCCUGCCUCUCCCUAUUCAACUUCUCCCGUGCACGAUAUUCCCUAGUAUUAAUCCUGAUGCCCAUAUUAUCGUAAAUAGGUUCAGGCGAAGGUGAGCGUGCACCUUCAGGCCUGUCAUCUAGGGGCAAACCAGAUUGCAACUUUCGAGUAAUCUCAAUCAAUCUGCUAUUAAGAGCUUGAAUUUCAGGGUCAAAUUCAAUACCUCCAGUAAGCUCCUUCAUGAAAUCCGGCAACUGAAUCACCGGCUGCGGCUGAUCAUCCGCCCACCUAGAUUUCCUCUUCCUCCCGCCAGUCCCUGUCCCCGUCCCAUCGCCUCCUCCGGUCCCAGCCCCACUUCCAUCGCUGCUGGCCUCGCUCGGAGGAGGAUCCCACCUGCUCCUGCGCCUUCGCCUGCUGGUGGUCUCCUCUUCACCUCCCGACUGGUCCUUGUCGGUGCCGCUAUGCGUGUUGGUCAAGCCAUUCUCAGAAAGCAACGGUCUCAGGACCUCGAGUUUCGGAGUACUUUCACUGUUCUCUCCGGUUAAAACCUUCUCCUUUAUCGGCUCACCCGCAACGGAAUUCUCGAGUCCGCUAUUCUGCUCGAACUUAGUUAAGGUUUCUUGAAGCUUGUGGUUGUAAGACUCAUAAUUUUGUUGGGAUUGAUCCUGAUCUUGAGAUUGGGAGUAGGAAUAAGAAGAAUUGGAGUAAUUUUGGUAGUAAGAUGAAUCUAGGGUUUGGGAAGAGUACUGAUCGUAGGAGUAUUGCGGAGGAGGAGCAGGAGGGUUUUCUGAAAAAGAAGCAGUAGAUUGAGAUUGAGGGUUUUCCGAGUAGCUGGAUUGAAGCGCGUCCAUCAGACGAUGGAUGAAAAAGCGGAGUUGGGGAAAUUAAUUGCGAAUGGAUUUGCAGAAGGGGAAGAGAUGAGUAAAAAUCGAUUGGAGAAGAAGAGGGAAGGUGGGGAUGUAUUUAUAUGAGGGUUGGGUUUUAUAAUCCUUGGUCUGGCCGUAAACGUCCUCAGAUCGAUCUAGCCAUCUAGGGUUGGAUUAGGAUAUCCUGGUUCAGAUGAGGCGGUUCACACAUUCUCGCUGCUGCUGAUUCAUGGCUUUGUGGCCCGUAUGGGUUUCGUAUGGGCCUGUGUUUCAGCCUGUUGGGUAUCAUGGGCCUAAAAUGCAGGAAUAAGAUUUUUGCGGUCUCCAAAAGAUAGUCGAUGCUCUUAGGGGCAGGCGAGGUCCCCCUAAUUUGAGAAGAGCACGCGCCGCACCUACUUGAGUUUUGAUGGACUGUAUACUUACAAAUUCGAAUUGAAUAAAUCCUACUAGUUAUUAUUCGAAUUUGAGUUCAAAUUCAUCAAAAUCAAGCUCAAUUCAAGUCGAAAAUAUUCGUUAAGGGCCAAAUUCAGCAUAUCUCAAUCACAUGAAUCAUCUCGGUGAACUCUACCGGUUUAAUCAGCUUACAUUAUUGUAUUCAGGCUGUAAGCUUUUCCAUACGGAGAAAACAAAUCUUAUUUUUUAUUUCUUUAGUUGCACAAUGUUUUGAAAUUUUGAAAUUCAGUGCGCGGGACCUGCAACUGCAAGCUGCAAUGUACGAGUUGUUACUAAAGGAAAUUGCUUGUGCAACACAACAGUCUAUUUGUUAAGCUUGCAAAGUGAUAAGAUGAUAUGACAAGAAUGCAUUAAUCUUUUUGGGUAGGUAAGAAUGCAUUAAUCUACUAUCAUGUCUUCACUUUUCUCUGCCGAAAUAACAAGAAUUAUUUCGCUUUCUCCUCUAAAUCACACUCCAAGGACCAUUUUGAGAGCAUGUUGGGUGCAAAUGAUACUACUUUUAUCCAUCUAAAUCACAAUUAUUUCGGUGUCUUCACUUGUAUCCAUCUUAACUGCCUUAUGCGCUAAUAAAGCGUGUUAAUACUUGCAAUUGUAAUUCAUAAAUUAUUGUUUUCAACGAAAACUAUAGCUAAAGUAUUUCUAAAAAGACCCGUUUAGAUCAAAUAGAUGUUUUGAUACGCUCUUCACAUAUUCUUAACUGCAGGAUGCUCUAUUUGAAUAUUCAAUCUACAGCCCACAGAAGGAUUUGAAAUCCCUUUUGGUGGCCAGUUUUAUCUAAAACAAGUUGAUUAGAUCGAGUUUAGUACAUGCAAAUACAUAAGCAAGCCAUCAAAAAAUUCAAAGCACCAUCUUUCUCUUCCCUCGUCCAUCAUGAUUGGUGCAUUUAAGACAUUACAGCAUAUAUCACGAAAUUGUUGAUAUUUCUCUCACAAAAGAGCCAUUUCCAUUUAAGGGCUGCCUCUUCGACUUUUAUUGCUGAAGAGGGUGUUGCAUAGAGGUGGCAAAAUGGAUAAAUGGUUCAUAAUUGGUUUUGACUUAAUGGAUGGUGGAUAAAAUUUAUCCAAUCCAUUUAAAUCCAUUUAAUAAAUGGAUUUAAAUGGAUGGAUCUAAAUGGAUUAAAUAAAAACCAAUUAUCCAUUUAUAAUCCAUUUAAAUAUUUUACUAAUUCCCUUAUUCCACAUUUUUCUAGUUUAGAAGACAGCCCAUGGAAAUGUAGUAGCUGAUUAGUCCAAACUUACGAAGACUCCCCAAGUCCUCGGACAUCUUUUUCUGAGCCUCCGAGGCCAACACCCAACAUCAACUGACCGCAAUGGCGAGAGCGAUGGCCCAUUGGCUGGCGAGCCGUUUCAGAAGUUCAUUUCCUUUCUGUUUCUUUUAUUUGGUUUUUAAGUAAAUGGAUAUAUAUGGUUUUUGUGGAUAAUUCAUAUAAAUCCAUUUAAUUUAAUGGUUUUACUUUGAUUAACCAUUUAAAACCAAUACUAUAAAUGGAUAAUCCAAAUCCAUUUAAUUAUGGAUUAUAUGGAUGGAUAAAUGGAUCUCAAUCCAAAUUGCCACCUCUAGUGUUGCAAGCUUUCUGCUACAUAAGUCCGAUAUGCAAAAGCAUUUUAGCGCAGCUUAAUUCACAAAACAAACUGCAAAAAGAACAUCAAAGAGAAAAGAUUACAACCGGUAGACAGCCAAGUCCCAGUCAUGAUGGUCUACUCGGAAGCAGAUGACUUGCGCAGCGCAAAAGGCCCAUGACGCCUUUCUCUAAAUUGGGUCUCCAUCCUCUUGCAACCAUCCAAGACAGCAGUCAACUCGUAAGGGGGAGCAUCAGUGGCCAACCACUGCUCAACAUAGAAUAUGGACUGACUACACGCUUUGUGUGGGCCCGUGGAGGUGACUUCGAUGUAGUCACAGUACCAACCAUGGUGGGCUCCAGAACCAUCAGAGGUCAAGUUGAGCCUGCAAACGGGUGAACUUAUGCAUGGGCCUCGUCCAGUAAAUAUAUCCAGACUGCCCCUCUCAAAGUAGUCAUGUUGUGGGCCCAUUAGACCCCAAUCCCUGAGAUUUGGGAUCCAAACUGAUUUUCCUGCGGAGUCGCCAAGAGUGACGCUAAUUCUGGAGUCAGUUCCCGCCUUUACGAUGCUUCCAGUUUGUACGUAGAGAGUGUAUACGCAUUCAUUCUGCAACAAAAGCAGCAUUCAACAUUGCAGAUAAGGCCAAAAAAAAAAAAAAGAAAAGAAAAUAUUUUAUGAUCAUGUAACAAAAGUUGUCUAUAUUUUUCGGCAAAUUUGUCUGGUCAAAAGCAAUUCUGAUAAACCCAUAAUCUGCGGCAGCCAUGCAUGGAUUUUGAAAUGAUUCUGGUUGCAUGAUCUAAUGAUUUUGCUGGUAGAGUUUGAUUUGAUCAGAUAAAGUAUGAAGAUACCAAGAUCAAAGGCCAGAGCAUCUUCAUUCAGAAGAGUGUAGCUGGGAAACAAAAAGAAAAAUGAAACAACAAGAACAAGAAGGAAAAAUGAAAAAUCUUCCUACUUUGCAUGCACCAACGCAAAAAGAACGUUGAACGCCAUAAAAAAUGAGCACCAGCAAGCACGAUCUAAGAUAAAUGUUUAACCAACUACUCAUCUGUAGAAGAUCAGCUUCAGAUUACAGCCGAUUCAGUCAGUAACUACAGAGAAAAAGCUUGUUGAAAAUUUGUGGUCUACAGCAAUAUAUACUAAGCCGCUACGCAGAUUGGCUUAGGUUCGAAUCAGUGAAUUUGGAUCGCAUCUUCGAAUUCACGAAGAAGAUCGCCUAGAGCUGCUGCUUGACUAGAAAGCAGAUUGAUAUAUUAUUACAUGCAUAAAGGCAAUAUUGCAAGUACGUCUGAGAUUGAUCCGAGUAAUUAAUGCAAUGCCCAGUAGUAUAUACUACCAACGACGAGGGAAUGUAGUAGUAGAUGUUAAGAGAGGUUUACAGAUGGAUGGGCGGCAACAGCAGAAGCUAAGACGACGGUGGCGAGUAUUAGCAGCAUUGAUGAUGAGAAGUGGCGACUCGUCAUCUUCUUCCUCCCUCGUAGCAAGAUCUGUUAUUUGAGCGUGACAUAGAAAAUAAAAAUACUGCUGCUUGAGCACAAUCAACUCCACUCUACAGAGGUAUAUAAACGGUUCUGGUUCUGCACUACUAUUACUGUAUUCAUGGGUUUGAUCGGUUCAAUGCAUCACCGAGUCCCUCGUCAUUGUUUGUUGUUCGUAACCUGUAAGGACCGACCACUGCCUGUAUAAAUUAAUUUUGCAUUUUCCUCCAUUGAGCUUUAGUAUUGCCACUCACCCAAGAAUCAAGACUGACUACCUUUUUCCUCCCAAACUAGAAUUUCGCCCUGCCUCAGCACAGUCUCUUUUCUUAUUUAUUAUGAAUUUAUAUAAAUAUGAAUAAUUUAAAUAUGAAAAUUAACAACGAUCCCACAUGUUCAUUCAUAUUAAUUUUAAAAAAUUAAUGUAUGCUAAAUAUUCAAUUAUUUACUAAUUUUUUAAAAAUUUAUUUACAUACUUUCACUAUAGUAUGAUAGUAUAUAUCAAAUAAUAUAUCCCAUAUAAAAAACUUGGUAUAUAUUCUUUUUUUUAUAAAUAUUUUUUUAGAUAAUUUAAAUUUUUAUAAUGAUCAUAAAUCUAGAACUAUAUAUUCACAUUUAAUCCAAUAAAUAUUAAGUAGAACUAUAUAUCAAGUAGAAAAGAUCCGGCAAUCCAGAUUUUUUCAUCAAUAAAUAUUUGGAUAAAAAUUUUUUUUUUUUCCCUCGCAUACAUGUCAUAAGUUUGAGAGAAGACACUUAAGACUAUCGUCUUUGGAAAAUUUUAUCAUUAUCUGAAUCAACUAGAUGAAAUAAUGUCAACUAAACAAAUAAGGACCCCAUGAUCUUAUUUGAAUUGUAAUUAAUGUGCAAUUAGUGGAUUUCGCAAUCUUCGUUAAACUAUUUUUAUUAGUCAACUUUGCCAAGCAGUUGAUUCGGACCGUCACAAAAUGUCUCUGUCAUGCUUAGGUUACUUUUACGGGAUGAGUUAAAGGUCUAGACCACUUUAAUGGGCCAGUAUGAAAUAAAGCCUUCUGGGUUUUGAAUCCCCAGUCCCUAUCAGGCAUGGCUAUUUUUAGGCAUAGCAAAGGGUGGGAUGCGCAAUUUCUUGGUAAUUUUCGUUACCUUCGUCAGCCUGUCCUUUUAACUCCUGAAAGCGUGGUUUCUUAUGAGUAAACGAUUUUAAUUAACUCUUCUAGCAAAUCCUUAUACUAUAUAAGAAUGAGUUUAGGGUAAAUAUGUUCUUUGGAUUUCAACCGUAAGGGUAGGGCCAUUUUGGGAAUGUAAGAGUUUGAAGUGCAAUUGGAGUAUUGAAUACAAGUCAUUAUAGCUAAUUUAGUUUUGUUGUAAUUACUUAGAUGUCCUUUUAGACAUUUAAAGCUAGGGGUGAUAGAUAUCCGAUUGAACAUUGGGUAUAACUAAAUUCAACUUGUGUUUUAAUGAAAUAACAUGAAAGCCCUUCUAAUCAUUUAAUUGUAUUAACAUCCAAGUCGCUUAAUUUUCUAAAGCAUUUCUCAUCAGUUAUCUGCAAACUUAUGAUAUAUAGAUAUUAAAACACAAUUAAUGCCAAUUUGUAGAGAAGUUUGCUUUCUUGGCCGUUACCCCCAUCUGUUCAUAUUCAUUUCAUUUACUUACAACUUUCUUCCACCACAAUCAUGUAGCCUAUUAAAUUUGGAUAUUGCUAUAUUAACUACUCCUCUUUCCCAUUUUGCAACACCUUUCUCAAUAAGUAUAUUUUCUUUAGCCAAUCUACUUUUUGGUUGUAAGAAAUCUCAAUAGGUAUGUUUUCUUUAACCAAUCUACUUUUUGGUUGUAAGAAAUCUGUAAUCUUGAAGGUUGUAUGUGUGAUAAUUUUUUAGUAUUUUAAUUCAAUUGUCCAUAUUAGGUAGGCAUGACAGGGAGGAGAUCACAUUUGUUAAUUAUUAUUUGUGGUUUAAAGUAAGUUUGUCAUUAUAAAUUUUCCCAUAUGCAGAUUGCAUCUACUUUUGUUGUUUUAACUAUUAGUUAUGAUAAUUUUCAAAUUGUUUGUUAUUUUAUUGAUGAUUCCAUUUAAGCAAAUUUUUCACUUCAUUUGAUUUGCCAAUAGGUUUAACUAUUUACUUAAAACUAUUUGGCUGCAAAUCUAAAGUAUGUACUUCAUUACUUUUAAUUGUUUUCUUGAAUUGAGUGGUCUAAAAUGUUUUAGUACUUUAUUUGACGUGGUUAUUCCUUUAAAUUAGCAUUUUAGUUGUUGUAUAUCUUUGCAACUAGAUCAAAAACUGAUGUUUAGUGAUUGUAAUCCAGAUGCUUUACUAUAUGUUUUAAAUUAUACAAUAAAUCAUAAUUGAUGGAUUGGUGAAUAUGGAGAUUUCAUGAUGAUAUGUCAUUGGAAUCAAUAUAAAUUCAAGAAUUUGGCUUGCAAGAACCGAAAUUCCACUAGCAAUGAUUUUUUUCAAAUAUGCUAAUUGUUCAAAUCUCACUUAUAUGACAAGAUAAUAUGGUGGAUUGCCUUUAUAUUAAGAUCAAAUUCAAACUAAAUAAUACAUUUUAAUAUCCAUAAAGUGCAUGAGCAGAUAUAAAUAGGUCUUUUAUUUUAUUAGGUUAGAUGCAAAAUAGUUGAUCGUAUCUUAUAAUUUUGUUUCAUUGCAUAUUUGUAUAUUUAACUUAUGAUGUAACUCAAUUAGUAUAUGUAUCUUAUGAUUUAACUUAUGAUCAUAUCUUAUAUUUAACUCAAUAUGUAACUUAUGAUUUUUCUAUUUAAUAUCAUAUAUUAAAAUUGUCAUACUUCAAUUUUUAUAUUAUAAAAUAUCAAAUAAUAAUUAUUAACUAUCUUUAAUUAUAAGUACUAAACUCCCACGCGUGGCGUGGGCUUUUCCUCCUAGUACUAGUAAUAAAAAAACAAAAGGAAACGUGAAAACCCAGCUAAAUAACCAAAGCUUCUUUUCGAGUUUCAACGGGUCCUUUUCAACUCGCCGGAAUUCAUCCCAAAUCCAAGAAGAAUCACUCCUCGACCUAGGGUUUUUUGGAAUCCCACCACAGCAAUCGCCUGUUGAAUUGUAAUUGGGUUGGGGAAUAGCCGAUCAGGGAAAAAAAAGGAUGGUACUCAAGCAGAAGAUUCACGAAGCAUUCAAGGGUGCGGUUGAGAGUAUCACAAGCCAUCGAACGGUUUCCGCCUUCAAGGAGAAAGGCGUCCUCAGCGUCAACGAGUUCAUCAUCGCCGGCGACAACCUCGUAUCCAAGUGCCCUACUUGGUCGUGGUAUACUUCAAAUAUUUCGCUCAUUAUAUCCGCAUAUAGUACUAAUUCAAUUCCCAAAUUGCCGACGAAUACUUUAUAAAACUGUAGCCUAGCUUUGAAUUGGUAAUGAUACAGCUGAUAUUCGAGUUGGUGGUUAUACUUGAUUUUGGUAUUAUGGUUUUGUACUUGUGGCAGCUAAGUAGUAAUAGCAUAGGCUCUUGAAUAUCAAAAAUUCUGUACCAUUCCUGUCUUUAAGCUCAGGCGAGGUUCUAAAUUCAUUUACUCACACUUAUGGUUGGUAGAGCUCUAUUUUAAAUCAGCUCUAGUUGUGUAUGGAAAUUUUGAUGUAGCUAAAACUUUCUUAGGCCUUAGUGAAAUAUAAUUAAGGGGUUGUUUGCGCACGUGAGCAAUAAACACACGGUUUUGAUGUUGCGAUUUUUUUGCCUUUUUUGAUAGAUCUUUUGUGCGAUCUUGAGAGUAUAUCUUUCCCUGGAAGUGGCUGUGUGUAAUCAACCAUAAUUAUCUUCUUCCUAAAACUUACGAUGUUGAUUGAGCAGCAGUUCUCCUCAAUUGAUUCCUCUUUCUAAUAGGCCACUUAAUCGCUAUGAAGACUGUUGGUAGAAAAUUAUGUGUAGGGAGUGUGUGCAUGUUUAUUAAGUCUAUGCAGUAUAUUUUGCAUUUUCACUGCUUCUAAGUGCUACUUCAUUGGUAGGGAAUCAGGUGAGCCAAACAAGAGGAAGCCGUAUUUACCUGCCGACAAGCAAUUCUUGAUAACAAGGAAUGGUACGGGUUAUAUUUUUGGUGCCUGUUUUCUUUACUUGCUAUUUUAUUUUAUAUUAUUGUUUUUGUUCAUAGCUUCCCUUUUUUUUUUUCCUUUUUGAUUGAGCGAAUUGAUGUGGGUGGCAUUUUUAAUACCUUGUGUGUGAUUGUGACUUUUAACACAUUCAACUUUUAUUAACUCUGAAUGUUUUGUUAAAUUUCUUUAGAAUGAUUGUGGAAUUGUGAGUGCUGAAAGUAAUGGAGUACUUUGUUACAUGAAACCCUAGGCUACAAUACAUAUUUGUCCAUUGAAAGUUUGGCUACCUCACAGUUUUACUUAUAGAUUACGUCUCUCAAUCUAACUUGCUUGUGCAAAAGGAAAUUCAGAUGUCUAUAAGGAUCCAUCACGAACCUUUAAAAACCAAAUUUGAAGAGCAUAAAUAGGCACAAUUACCAGUGAGUGAAUGAGUUAAAAUGCAUGAAAGUCUGUACCAACAGUCCCCCAUAACCAAUUGUUGAAAUAAUUCUUUUUUUUUUCAUGUGACGAAUUAUGGUGGAUUUGAACAUUCUUUUAAAAUGUAAAUUUUCCUCACUCACCCUGAAAAGACUUAUUUUAUAGGUCAAUGGCAAGCCUGUAAUUUGUGGUUCCUAAAUCAAGGUUGAAUCUGUACAAUGAUCCGACUGUAUGGGUUUUGUCCUUCCAGAAUAAUAUAUUUGAGCUUCACAUAAUUAAGCAUUUUAAUUUUUUGGGCAUGUUAUACCUUGCAAAAUUAAAUUGGCCAUAGUCCACUGCAUUUCACUUCGUCUUAAAUGCCAAUUUGAGGAUUUUACUAGCUCUAGGGACACAAAUCGAGUAAUAUGUAACGGUUCGCUAUCUAUGUUCUAAUAACAAGGUUUUUUGGCAUUUGACUGUUGAAAUGUCAUGCUUUUUGCACAGAGCAUGCAUUUUCUGUCGACUGUAAAGAAGCCUUGCUCAAGCUGUUCUAUUUAUUCGGCAUAUGUUUUACUUAGAUACGUGGCAUUUUUUUUAUGUUGUUUUAGAUUUUGUAUAAUUUGAAUAUGAAAAGUUAUUAGAGAGAACAUUAUAAAAUUUGAUUAUCCAAAAUCAGAAUUUAUAAAACAAGAAAUCACCAAAUAAUCACUUCAUGCCCAAAACAACUAAAUUACUAAAAUUUUACUAAUGCUUAAAAACUUCUAAAUAAUUAGAAAUAGGAAACAUAUAGUUUGUUCCGUUGUUUGAGUAAUUUGUUAAGCCGCCUCAAUCGAGUUGACAAGGACAUCAUUGUAUAAAUAUAAGAGAUAUUAAAAGUUGAAUCCUCAAUCCUCAUUUGUAUAAGAAUAAUGAAAUGAAGAAAUAUAAAUAUAUUGGCUCGAACAAUUUAUUUAUUUUUCUGAAGAAUUGAAACCAAUGCUAACUUUUAGUCAAUUUCUUGGUAUCCAAACAAAAUAAAGGAAUUUUAUAGUAGGAAAUCAAUCUAAGAUCGACUUUCCAAAUGAAUGCAUGUACUAAUUAAUUAGCAGAUCAUUGAAAUAAUCACAUCCGAUUUCCUUACGGCACAAGAUGCUUGCGUAGAUACCUAGUACGAUAAUUUUAGAAACCUCCCAUGAGAUUUUUAACUAUUUCAUUAACCUCCCUUUAGGUUUUGAAAAUUACAUAUACCUCCAUCGAGACUUAUUAUCUUAUAACAUCCAAAUCCAACAAAAAAUUAAAAAGUGAUAUUAGAGGAGAGAAGUUAAUAUGAUUUCAUCAUUGUCCCCAUCUAUUAAAUUGUUUAAUUAAUAUAAUUCCAGGCUAAAUAUUAAAGAAAACACUAGAAUUUGCGACUUAUCAUCAGGGUUUAAAUCAUAUAUGGCAUAAAAUAGGAUAUUAUUCCGUGUAUUUUACUUAAUAUAAGAUCUAAAUUACUCUUUUCACUUAUGAACACAUUGUCAAAUAUGACCAAUAACAAAUAAUAAUAAAAAAAUCAGCAACCAAAAUAUUACAAGAAACGAAUUUUAAUACCAUAAAAAUCUCAGCAACUAACGUUAACAUUUUGAUAAGAAUAUUUAUGAUGUUAAAGUUUGUUCUUUGUAAUAUUUUAGUUGCAAAAUUUUUGAUUAUUUAUUGUUGAUCAUAGUUGUUAAUGGGCAUGUAAUUAAAAAGAGUAAUUUGGAUAUUGUGUUAAGUGAAAAUAUAAAAUGAUAUAUUAUUUUUGGUACUAUAUAUAAUUUGAUCUCUAAUAAUAAACAACAAAUUUUCGUGCUUUUCUUUAAUGUGUAAGUUGGUAUUAAAUUAAUUAAAUAAUAUAGUAGAUGAAAGGCAACGAUGGAAUCAUGUUAUCUUCUCUUUUCUAAUAUUGUUUUUUAAUUAUUGGUUGGAUCUAAAUAUUACAAGAAAAUUAAACUCGAGAGAAAUUAGUAUAAUUUUUAAAAUUUGAAAAAAAGUCAGUGAAAUAGUAAAAAACCUUAAGAGAGGUUUCUGAAAUUAUCCCAUACCUAAUAAACCCUUUUAUGCAAAUGCAAUUGUUUUGUGACAUAACGAUAAUAGACAACAAAGAACCCAUAGAAUACUAGAUUCAGCAAAAGGAGAGGGACCAGUUUGAAAAAAAAAAAGAGCAAAAAUCUCACUACGCUACAAGCCUACAACUUCCUAGAGAGACAGAACUCUAUUCCAUUCUAUUCCAUCCAUAAAAAGUAUUUAUCCCUUCUCCUCCAACAAAUCAACCUCAAAAAAAGAACUAAAAAGAAAAAAAACCAGUCCAACACCCACAGCGGCAUUGACAGAGAGAAAAGAAGCACAUGAGGUCAUUUGGUGGUGGCAGCAGAGGCAUGGGCGGAGGAGGCAGCGGUGGUGGGAGCGUGCAGAUGCUAAGAAGUGUUCAAAGGGCUGUGAGAGCCCGAACUGUCGGCGGUGGGGGUGGCGCAGCCCAUGAACCUUUCUCUCAUACUCACCCCUCCACUACCAACACCGCUACUACUACUACUCUUGGUAGAACGAGACAAACUACUUGUAACAAUAACAAGAACCAGCCCAUCACGCUUUCUUCUUCUUCUUCUUCUUCUUCUUCUUCAACAGCUUCAUCUGCUAUAUUUUCUCCAUGCAACAAUCUCCUGCCAACAACAGUAUCAACCGCUGCACCACCCCCCUGGCCUUCUUCUUGUUCAUCGCCUACUUUUACGGAUGAUUCUGAUUGGGAGUGUAUCGAUGACUGUUAUGAAGACUUCGUUUUUGGGACUGUUCCAUCCAAGGACGAGGUCCAUCAUGCAGUUUUUGCUCUCCAGGAGUAAGUUUCUUGAAUUCCAUUUUUUCAUUUUCUUUUUUUCAUAUAAUUUCUUAAAAUUUUGGAAUGAAUUAUCACUUAGUUAUCAUUAACUUUCCAAGGAUGAAGUUUCGUACGGGGUAUCUCUAUUCAAGGAUGGAGUAUAAGGAAUACAUAUUGCUUGCUUAAUUACGGAGAUUUGUCUGACAUCUAAUUAAUAUGGUUAUUUUCCUAUAAUAUCAUUAUACCAUGGAUAUUUGGUUGUUGGAUUUUAUUUUUGGGAUGCUGAUGUUGACUUUGAUGUCGACGUCGGGAGUCAAAUAUUCGCCUUAGUGUAUCAGUCCCUAGGGUUGGAUAGAUCAGUCAAACAAGUUUCUCUAACCAUUGAAAAAAAAUCCCAUAAUCAUUUGCAACACCCAGCUAUGCUAAUUUGACAUAUUUAUGCUGUUGCUUUAUUGUUGAUAAUUAUGCCAUACAAAGAGUACCAUAAGAACCAAAAUUCGUGGUGGUUUACAACUUACAAGCCUUGGAACCCCAGAGACUAUAAAUGUAGAAAACAGCAAGUUAUAUACAAAAAUUAGUUCUUAUUGAGUACUGGGAUUUCUUUUGCCUCCUCGUUUGAGAUUUUACUAAAAAUAAUUAAAGAACAGAGCAUAACGUAAUUCUUAUGAAGCUUAUGUUUACAUUAGCAGUUAAGUCUUGGCAUCAACUCACAUUUCAUUGUUUCAUUGUGAUAAUAUUGCCAUUUCUUGAAAUUUUGUAAUUCUCAGGGUACUAGAUCCAGCCUCAGCUAAAUGUUUGAUCGACGACAUACCUGCAUACAAUUUGGAUGCUGACCUAGGUGGUCAAGUAUCUAGCCUCACUGGUUCCCUGCAAAGAUCUUCUCCAUUUGGCAGCCAGUUGGAUUGGAUGGAGCCCUCAUUGCAACUCUGCAGCCAGAGCACGUUGCAGGCUCAUGAUCGAGUUCAUGAUGCUUUGCACUUGCUCAGGAACGAACCUUCAGUUCAGGUUUAUUUUGCAUGUCAUGACUAUUUGAUUGUUAUUGUUUAAGCUUUGGCGUUAAAUGAGUUUUGCAGGAGUUGAUGGUUAAGAAUGAUCGGCAUCAGGAUCAUGUGAAGUUUUUGUGAUAAUUAAGAAGAAUUUGGAAAUGGACUAACUUAAAAAAAAAAAAAGCCCUUUAUUGUCGUCUUAACAAUUGUCCAAAACCAAAUAUUUUGAAUUUUGGUUAUGGUAAUAUUAAUCUGUAAUUCUUGGAAAAGUUGAGGGAAGAAUCAGAAUGAAUCAUUGAAGGAAAUAUAUGAACUUGGAAAAGCAUCAGUUGUGGAUCUACUUGCUUGAGUAAUUUAGUUGUUUUUAACAUCUCGUGAUAGCAAAUUCCUCGCAAUCUUUUGUAGGGUUUAUUGUCUUAACCAAGAUUAGCUUUCAUGUCAUAUUUUCUAAAUAGAAGCUUUCGCUGCUUAAUUGAUAGAGAAUGGUGGUAUCACUAUCUUCUGAUAAAGCUGUUUGGGAUGCUGUGUUGAAUAAUGAGGUAGUUCAGGAGCUCAGAGGGUCUCUCAGUCAAGGUUUGUAGUAAGUCCAGAAAAUGGGACGUUAUUUCCUCAUUAUAAUUGCGGUAUUAAUGCUUGCAAUUGUUGCCAUUCAUAGUUUCUUUGUUGCCCAUUAAUGUUGUUCUGAUACAUGAAGCAGAUAAAAAUCCUGCUGAGAAAUCAGAUGAUGGUUCUGAUGCUUCUGAUCCAGCAAGAGACUUUCUAAGUUGGGUAAUUGUCAACACCAAAGCGACAGUUAUGGAGCUUGUUGACAAGAUUACGAAGCUAGUAAAUGAACUAUUCCGCACCGAAGGAGGAGGAGGAGACAGGACAGCUGAUAGAAAAGCAGAUCCUUUUGAUGAAAAGCUGAGAGCAUCGUUUCUGCUCUCGGUCGUGGUUAUGCUAAUCGUGGUCGUGGCUCGAUCAAGCAAGGCAUGAUCAUAAUACUCUAAUUUGUCGACCUAACUGGUGGCAUUUCCUGCUGUGUAGGAAACGUUGUCUGUUGUACAUUGUAUUUUAAGUGGUUUUGUAAGAGAAAAUGACAUUCAUGCAUCUGUUUUAUUCUGUUCGUUAAUUUUCUACAGCUCAAGAAGCUUAGACACCCAUAAGAAAAAAAAAAUCAGGGAGCAAAAUGGCCUGGACGAAAUUAUACCGGUCAAUGGGACAAAAUUUUGCGAAGUGUAUGAUAACAUAGAAAAUCAAUAUGGAUUUGAAAAAUAUGAAGAUGAAAAGAAUAUACCGAACCUAAAUAAGUCAAUAGAAGUUUGCAUUCAUCCAGUUACAUUAUUAAUAAAGAAAGAAAAAGCAGGUUCCUAAAAGAAGUUCCUCAACUGCCUAGAAGAUUUUGUAAAGCUGGAGCACCUGUACAACUAGCUACUGUGCAAGACUGAAAGUACACUUCUCAUUGACAUCGCCGAUAAAAGCCUAAUUAUCAGCAAAAUUCUCAAGUCAGAUAAAUCACCGGCGUCAGUAGAUGAUCAAUAUCUGGAGUAACGACAGCCCGCUUACUGACUUCUCCCAGAUUGCAGCAGUGUUUGUCUGAUGUGUUGAUUGCCACAAUAUCCUGAGCAAACGCACAAUUGGAACCAGGAGAAACCUGCAAGUCGUUUCAUCCUUCUAAGAGAAGCUCAUAAUAGCUACACAAUGUCUUGUUCAAGCAAUAACUGAUAAUGGCUAACAAACACACUGAAACUGCUUGUCCUAAAUUUACCAAAAAAAAGGAAAAAAUGAAGAAUUAUAGGGUAUUGUGCAAAACAGAGUAUUAUCAGAGCAAGCUCUAGGAAAGACCUGUGCACAUUGUCUUACUUGUCAAGCCCAGAUAUCAUAUGAAUGCACCAAAUCCCUGACUCAACCUUACCAUUGAGCCAGCCCUUAUCAGUACUUUGUUGAGAAAAGGAAUAUCAUAUGGUUUUCACUCAUAAGCACCCCAUAAUUACGUUGGAAGCAGAAUAAUAUAUAUCCAAAAAGGAAAUUAUUGGUUUAAAUCACCAGGAAAAAGCUAAGACAUAACUCACAUCGUACAGCAUAUCUCCGAGCUUCAACUUAACUGCACCACUCUUAAAGACCAAUAUUUUCCCCAUGAAUCCGGGUGGCAACUCCUCCAAACUGCAUACAUUCUUAUUUGUGCCAACGGAAGACACAGAGCUGUUAACCAUCUCUUUUCCCUUUGCAUCACCUGAAACCAUUGGAAAGCUACCAGGAAUCUCCUUCCCUUUUGCCGUGGUUGGAGCAACACUUCCACCUGGUCUAGAGCUGCCAGCUCUGUGUUUAUGAUUCAUGCUGGCUGAAGCAUGUUCAGAUGUACCAGUAGAACCUGGCCCAGAUUCCCGUUUAACAAAGGGGAGGUUAGCAGGAAACUGAAGAAAAAGCAUCUUCUCUCCAUCAACUUCUUCCUGUACAUCAAUAGCAAAUUCAUUAGCAAAAAGAAACUCUAAGAUCAAUCUGAUAAAUGUUCAAAAUAUGAAAACAGACACACUAACACAAAUAUAGCUACCAGCAGACCAAGAUCCGAUGCAGAAUUUAUAGCACUUUCAUCAUACUCCGAAGCUGCUUUAGCCUCCCCAAAUUCUUCCCGAUCAAGAACCUCUAAAAGCUCAAAAAGCAUACCAUUAACAGACAAAAAACAGUUAACAUCCCAAAGAAACAAAAGACUAGCAAAUUCAAGGUGACCAAAAGCCAAAAAAAAUAAAAUAAAAAGUUAAUCACUUAUGAUCACCUGAUUAAACUAGUUUUCUGACUUUUAGAUACCAGGAGAAAUCAUGUGAUUAAUUGUUUAGUGCAAAACUGCAAAUAUGUCCUCAGUAUACUUACUUAUCUCUACCACAGCAUCUCCCUGCAUUUAUACUUGAUAUCUCCACCGUAUAUUAAGCUGAAGCUAUGGGUUUGGUAUUUAAAAAUAAAAUAAAAUAAAAUUCUGUAGCUUAAAGUGUUUCAUAGCAACCCUUUCUUUACCUAAUUUUGUAAUGUCCCACUUCCGCUUCUUUUCCCAUGACAUUCAACAGAAUACUUCCUUGAAUACUCCACCAACUAAUGUAUCCAGUAAGUAAUUAGGCUCACAUAUAGUGUGACAAAAACAUUAGUUAGUAAACUUUUGAUGUCAUUGAUACUCAACACUCGUUAACAAUCAUCAUGGAGAAAACUAUCUCUGUUACUUAAAGCUCUACUUUAUCCCCUCUCAUGUAAUUGCAGUGUUGCUAGAAAAACCUGUACUCCAAAGCAAAAAAGUUUCUGCAUUAAAUUCUGAUGAAAAAAAAAAGAAUAAAAAGAUCAAUCUAAACACCCUAUCUGCUUUAUGCAGCAUCAAGUUUACUGUGUGCAACAACCAACAAAUCUCCAAGUAUGAUGUUCAAACACUGGAAAGAGAAUUUCUGUUGUCUUGAUUUCCUUUAAUUUAAUGCAAGCAUUCAUGAAAAAGCAAUAGCAAUGCAAGGACUUGAAGGGACUUCAAGAUCAGUAAGGAGGGACAACAUGUCAGCACUCAUCCUGUCAUCACUAAGAGUGAUUUGAGCUAUACCUGGGUUCCCAGAGUAAGGUCUUCUUAUGGGAAGAGUAACAGGAUAGUAGCUGUGGUUGUAAUCCUAAUACAGAAUAACAAAAAAGUAAUUAGUGAGUCCUUUUAUUUGUGCUCGCAAAGACUCAGUUUGUCUUAGACAUGAAAGAAAAAACAAACAACAUUUAUUACCCAAGGUUCUUUAUAUUCUCUCUUCUUCUGCUUGAAUGAAGUAACAGUGGCAUCUUCUGAACUUUCAACCAUCCAAUCAAUUUUACUAGUUGAAGGCAAAGAAUGGAUGUCCCCCAUAGUAUCUGCAGCAGAAUCUCUCAAUCCCGUGCCAUUACUUCUGUCACCGGAACCUUCCUUAGCUGAGCCAUAUGUCCUUAAAGAAGUUGAUGAUGCAACUCCAUGGCUAAAUGCAACUUGAACAGAAGCUGAAAGUUUAUACAAGCACAUGAGUUCAUAACCAACCGACCACUCAAUAUAAAGAACUAACAACAACUUAUGAUGCAGCCAUAACUACAUGUGCCUGUACAAAACCCACCGAGUAGGACAACUCUAUUCAGCUAAAAAUAUGAUGUAAACGAUCUCAAAGAACAAUGAUAUUUACUUUAAACAUUGUUCAUAUAUCCAAUAAUUUUGCAGCAGUGUUAAAAAUUUUGUCGCUUUAUAGUGUGCUGUUUAACCGAUCACUCUGGAUCACCGGAUUGGUCUUAUUUGAAUUGAUCAAUUACAAGUUUGGUGUUAAAGUGAAGUUGUAAUACAAUCAUCAAGUGAUAACUGAAUUCCUAACACGCACAUACACACACCCCCCCCCCCAAAAAAAAAAAGGGUAAGUGAAUGAGAUUACAUUUUUUCUCAGCUUGAGGCCAUCUUCUUGUCAGAUGCUCCUGUACACGAAGUGAGAUGAGUAACAUGUAUAACAAUGAAGGGCAUUGCACUUCCCAAAAACACAGAAAACUAAACCACAAAUAACUAGAGUAAAAAGGUUAUACAUUGUUCCAUUUCUACAAUAGAAGCUACUAAAGCCCCUUCUGCAUUCUAAAUAUGAGUUAUUAAAAAAAAAAAAAGAAAAGAAAAGGCAGGCCAUCAAGGGAGGAAAUUCAGCUUCACUUUUCUUACAAAACCUUAGCCCUAAUGCAUAAAAAUCUGCCAACGAUGUGUUUUUGAUGCCAUUAAGGAACUGAAGUAAGUGAUCAAGUAAUUAUUAAUUAACAAGCCAAAGUUAUGUGAGGUAGUAAAUGUAAGUUCCUCUUAGCUCUUCAAGAUUAAGGCUGUCCUUGAUUGCAAAAAUCUAAACAGCAGCAUGCAAAUUUUAAGCACGAUAAUGAUGCAUUUGGUAAAAGAGGACCUCCAAUGUCCGUUUAAUUGCAGACAAUCUCGUCUUGAUUGAUUUCUGUAAGUUCAUCUUCAAUUAUUCAGUCUAUAUAUUUCUUUUCCCCAAUUUGAGUCCUUUGCUUCAGUUAAAAUGUGUCAAAUAUCACAAGGUAAAAAACAAACCCAUACAAAAGCAAGCAGUAUAAUUCUGUACAUUUUUGGAACUAGCGUAAAACUUUCUCAUUAAAGAUUUACCAAUAUCAACAUACAUCAAUCUAAGAAAACAAAACUUCAUUUUAAAGUUUGCGUUAGAAGGGGAAAAAAUGAUACUAAAGGAUAUGUUAAUUUAUCCUGACCUUGUACGGUCUAUAAAAGUCACAGCUAUAAUAAUUAGUAUAAAAUGCAAUAUUGUCCAGCAUAACAUUAAACGCAUCAGUCCCUGCCUUUUACUAAAAGGAUUUUUCUAACGGCUCUAUGGAUACUCGUUAACACGCUUACAUUCCACUCAUAACCCAACCUAUCAUAUAUAUAUAUAUAUAUAUAUAUACAUACGCACACUAAUAAUUACGACUUUCUUUUACAUUUAUACAUUUUUUCCCAAUUAAUCAUCUUAUAUAUAUACAUUUUACUUAAUUAAUCUUUUAUUUUUAAAAAUCUGACAUUUGAAAUAUAUCUUAACAGACCGUUGCUAUACAUAAAUCUGAUAUAAAUAGCGAAUGAAGGCGCGAGCAUUACUUACGUUAACUUUGCGAAGGAGAGAUUCAUUAAUCUCGUCAUCUCCGCCAUGAUCACCACCACCAGCUACUUCACUGCCAAUUCACAUGUAUUAAGAGUUUCAAGCUAAGAAAAAAGACGAUUAAUUGGAAAUUUUUUUUUAAAAAAAAAAGGUGUUAGAGAAAAUUUAAGUGGUAACAGGAUAAAUACGGGAAAUACGUUUUGGGUUGAAGAGGUGUGGACUUCCUCUUUGGUGGAGGACCUUUAGGAGCAAAUUUGACCUGUGAAAAAUACAUGGCAAAUUGAGAUUAGAUCGCAAAUAAGGAGCAAACCAGGACGCGAAUGAAGGGAAAAUCACAAUUGAAAACAGAAGGGAAAGAAACAAGAGAAAGUGGUGCAGACCCUUCUAGGAGUAGAAGGGGAUAAAUUCGGUUCCAUGUAGCUUCUGGUGCAAUUCCAAUAAAUUAGAGCUCGUAAUCAGGAGAAAGGGCUAUGAUUAGACAGAUCGGAGCGACAGAUUACCGGAAUUCUACCGCAAAAAUCAAAGCGAUAGGCUUAAAAUCGGAGAAAGAUGAAGAAGACGAUAUGACCGGGAAAGAAAAGGGGGAAAAAACAUGAGCUGAAUCGAACCCUGGACGGACGUCUCAACGAGAAAUCUGAACCGCCAAGCCAAGGAGGAAUUUGUUGAGGGAUGGCAAAUUUUAACAAAAUAAAUAUAACAGCACACCAGAAAAAACUAAAAUAAAAAAAAGGGGAAAAACAGUGGCGCAAUUGAAAGUUCAUCUAGAGAUCUUAUGUCUGCACUUUCCAUUUUUAGUAAUUACUUCUUUGCAAAAUUCUCAGGUGUUUUGGACUAAAAUGAAAAACUCUACAAGAGACUUAAGAAUAUUUUGUCAUACAAUCUAAAUUAGAACUAUGGGAUUUGUUAAAAUUGAACCAAGAUAUCAAUUUCAGUCUCGUACAACUGUUUUUGGAGUAUUACUUUUAAAAUUUUGGUCCUCGUGCGACCAUCGAAGUUUUAUUUUUUCGAUUAACUUUCGUUGUUUCCCUAGCCAGUUAUUACUCCCAUAAAGCGUGAAGGAAUUGCUAGUAAUUACUGCAAGCUUGCAUUUGGGUUUGAGGGAUUUAAUGAAAUAUUUAAAAUUCUCAUAAAUCACUCCAUGUUCUGUAGAUAAUUUAGGAAGCAUUUGAAUUUAGAAUUCAUCUAUUAUUUUAGUAUGUAAAUAUGUUUAAAUAAUUGAUAAAUUACAAAUUUGAAUGCCUCUUAAUUAAUGCAAACGAUCGAUAGAGAUUUGACAGAAUUUCAAAUUUCUUCUCACAUCCCUCAAUCUCCUGUAGGAUUUUUUUUUAAAAAAAACCAGAGUUGUCCCAAUUCCAAAGUAAUAUAUACAAAACUGUAAACUUCGUCACACACUACUGUUUCCUCACUCUUUCAAGUAUUCAUACAACAACAGUUGAUGCUAGUGACAUUUUGACAAAAUUAAAAAUUAAAAAUACAACAACAGUUGAUGUACUUCCGCUUGGAGUAUUGGAUUCGGUCUUUCAAGGUUCUAUAUAUUCGUUAAAACUUAGAAGUAUAGGGUUAUCAAAAUGUCGUGUCCUUGCAAUUUCCUUUGAUCGCGUUAGAGAAUAUUAUAAUUUUGGUACCAAAUAUUUGGGAUAUCAACAAUUUUAAUCUUCAAAGUUUGAACAAAAAUAAAUAUAGGCCUUGUUUGGUAAGUAAAUUUUUGACCAAAUUUAUCUACUACAAGUUUUUUAACAACUUUAACUACAACAAUUUCAAAAAAUUUCUCAAAAAUUUUAAACUAUACAUUUUAAAAUAUUCAAAAAUUUAUACACUUCAAAAAAAUUUUCUACUACUGCUACACUAAAUUACAGUAAAAUUUUAAACAAACACUAAAAGAACUCACUUGUCAAACGGAACCCUAGUUCUAAAUGUUUCACUUUCCAAAUACAUUUAAUUCAAUUGACUAGUUUUGACAAAUUGUUACUUGAAUUUGAACACAAAAGUAGCACAUGCUCGAGGUUAAAUUUUGAAAAAUAUUAGAAAAAAUGAAAAAAAGAGUUUAUAACCCAUAAUUUGUAAUUAAAGGUACUAAUUACUCAUAUGCACAUUAGUGCACUUUAAUUAUAAUUAUGGCCAUUAAUACCUUUUCCUUUUUUCUAAUUUUUUACAAAAUUUAAUCGUUGACACUUACUAUUGAUGUGACCGAAUUCCAGUAAUAAUUUACCAAAACUAUUCAAUUGAAUUAAUUGUGCAUCAAAAUUAAAACAUUUAAAACUAAAUUUACUUUUGUCCAAACUUUAAGAGCUAAAACUGCCAAUGCCCCGAAUAUUUUGUACCAAAACUGUAAUUUUCUCAUUGCAUUGUAACUUGUGUUCUUUUUCCUCUCUUUUUGUCUGGUUUACUUGUCUUUUGGGAGAAUGUGGCGCUCACCCCGCUCAAAUAAUGAUCUGACAAUACGCAUAAGCAUAGUUAUUAGUAUCACGAUUCGUGAUCAUGAGAUUUCACGAUAAUACCCCAUUUUGAGUAAAUGAUCCGCAUCCCAUAUUUCAACUAUUUUGUCCAAUAAUCUCCUUUGGAUUUAGAAGAAGAAAGAACAAAAUUUUUAGUUAAAUCCAUACAUUUCCAAUACAUUAUAUUAUAACCCCAAAGCUUUUAUUAAAUUCAAUAUCACCCCUAAUAUUUUAAAUAACACCUUUUUUUCUUAAUUAAAAUAACAUCAUACAAUUUACGCAUGAGUUGCAUUAUUUAUCAUUAUAUAAGUGGAUAGCAAUCUUAAAAACCUUUAAUAUGACCAUUUACUAAUUUUUUGUAAGAUCUUGCAAUUUGCACUUUUUUUUUUUUUGAGCCCAACAUUGGUAACUUCCAGUAAAGCCCAAUUUGGUAUUAUUAUAAUUCUACUAAAAGAACACGUGGGCGGUAAAGCUAGUUUGAGACAUUUAGCGAACACUGAGUUUGUUUAGAUAAGAGUUUAUUUGGAUGAUUUAUUUACUGUAGCACUUUUUGUGAUGUGAUAUGUGUGAGGUAAAAAGGUGAUUGGGAAGAUAAAAAGGUGAUUGGGAUUUGUGAGGCAAAAUUUUUUUUUCCAAAUUCUCUCUAUCCAAACAAACUCAAUUAUCCUCUAAACUUAAAAGCGAAAUUUUUGAUAUCAAAAGCACUUUUUAGCAAAAGAUCCAAAUUGAUACUUUUAAAAUAACUUUUGUGUUUUAAAAAAAAAAACAUUAAAUUUAAUUAUUUUAUCCAAUAUUAUGAACCAAAAGAGAGAAAUAUAUUUACCAAUUUUUAAAUUACACAUUAUCUAAUAUAAUAAAUGCUUAUUGAACUACAUAUCCAAACAAUGCAUUUAAAAGCACUUAAACACUUAAUAAAUGCUUUUAUUAAAAGAUCUGCUAACCCCAAACGGACCAUGGACCUGAAUUAUGUUCCAUGACAAUGGAUUCAGGUGGAAGAUUGACCAUCAGAAUAUCAAUUAAAGACCAAUGUCUGCACUAAAAUAAUCUUUCAAACUUUUAACAUAAUUGCCUAGCACUCUUCCAAGAUAUUGAUAGAAGUUCAAUGAAUAAUUGAUAAUGCAAUGCGUGGACCACGCUUCAACAAACAUAUGGACUAAUAAUUGAUUCAUAUGCAUGCACUUGACUGAAUAUUGCGCGUAUUACAAGCUAAGUUUCCAUAGGGCUUCACGAGGCUUUGAUUUAUCCUACACGUAUCAUUUCUGAGCCUUUACAUACUCGAGCUUAAGCUAUGCUUGACAAAUUAAAAGGAAGCAAAAACAAAUCCAGACGGGGUUUAGAACACGCCUUACAAAUACUUAAACAAGACACACACAAAAUGAGGUCACUUCACCGUAAAAGCAGUCACAGAAAAGGUGAAAGAAACUCUCUGGUUAAUUGACCUAUCAUUUUAAGUUUGAAAGUAGUAAAUAUGACUGAGUGGACAAACAAUUGGAAUCAGCAAAAGGUGCCCAAGAAUAUUAACAAUUCUAAGCUAUUGUGCUUAAGAACAAAAAGCAGGGCAGUUCAUCUAAUCCACUUCUCUACCACAAAAUCAAGCACUAAUCAAAAGACAAUUGAAAACAUUGAAAAUUAUGGGUUUGACAAUUCAUACUUAAAUCCCAACCCUAGCGAAGCGCACUAAGAAAAAUGUUUAGUCAAAGGUAGAAAGCUUUUGUCACGGAAACAUUCUAAAAUCUUGUGUAGACGCAUAACCCAAGAAAGUAUAAAAUUAAAUCUACUCGUAUACGUUUGAAACCCCUCCAUGUUAAAGGCUUCAGAUAUACAAGUACCAGCAUACAUCCAGGUACUUUGUCAGAGGAUUGGUCAAUCUUUUUCAAUACUCCCUUAACUUCAACCUAGAUCGCCACCUCAAAAACAUGGACUUCCUCUCACUCUAUGUAACCCACAAAUAACAACCAACAAUUAUCUCAUUUUUGCAGUAACUGAGAUCCCUUGUUCCACCAAUUCCCCCUUCUGAGCUACCAAAGAAGAAAAUAAGAAGUGUGAACAAAGAAAGAAAAGUUACAUUUAAAGCAUUCUAAACCUGCUGCACAUGAAGUGGAGAAGAUAUCAGAACCAAAUGUAUGUAAGUAAAAAAUUAGACAUAAAAAAGGUCUGAGACGUGUUUUCAAGUUUAACAUACCCUGGAACUUCAUAUACCAAGAGGAGGUCAUCUUCUUGACAGGAAGUGUAGAUGCAAGCAACACGCUGCUUCGAAAGCAGAGGAGCCAAAAGUAUUGAAUAAGCACAAAAAAAGUGGGCACAUAGAUAAAAAGAAGGGGCCAAGUUAGAAACACAAACCAAAAGCAAAUGACAGAACAAAUCACGACAAUUAGACCAACAAAGUAUGUCAGCAAUCAAUCAUGAAGGAAAUCAAGACGGAUAAAAAAUUAUAAAACUUCUGAAAGGCAGCGGCAACCGUCCAAUCACCACAGACAGGCCUACAAAGCAGUAAUCAGUAGAGAUAGAGCUUUUAUAUUUGAUACUCCAAUUCUUCCUCAUGAACUGAACAUUGUCCCAACGCUCUGCAAAUGUCAUAAGAGCACUGCAAGGUUAAAGAUGUGAGUCCCAAACUUCCAACAAGUAAGUCAU
rnacentral:lncRNA from 1 species